rnacentral:rRNA from 1 species
AUUGAACGCUGGCGGCAGGCUUAACACAUGCAAGUCGAACGAUGACUCUCUAGCUUGCUAGAGUAGAUUAGUGGCGGACGGGUGAGUAACAUUUAGGAAUCUGCCUAGUAGUGGGGGAUAGCUCGGGGAAACUCGAAUUAAUACCGCAUACGACCUACGGGUGAAAGGGGGCGCAAGCUCUUGCUAUUAGAUGAGCCUAAAUCAGAUUAGCUAGUUGGUGGGGUAAAGGCCUACCAAGGCGACGAUCUGUAACUGGUCUGAGAGGAUGAUCAGUCACACCGGAACUGAGACACGGUCCGGACUCCUACGGGAGGCAGCAGUGGGGAAUAUUGGACAAUGGGGGCAACCCUGAUCCAGCCAUGCCGCGUGUGUGAAGAAGGCCUUUUGGUUGUAAAGCACUUUAAGCAGGAGGAGAGGCUAAUGGUUAAUACCCAUUAGAUUAGACGUUACCUGCAGAAUAAGCACCGGCUAACUCUGUGCCAGCAGCCGCGGUAAUACAGAGGGUGCGAGCGUUAAUCGGAAUUACUGGGCGUAAAGCGAGUGUAGGUGGCUCAUUAAGUCACAUGUGAAAUCCCCGGGCUUAACCUGGGAACUGCAUGUGAUACUGGUGGUGCUAGAAUAUGUGAGAGGGAAGUAGAAUUCCAGGUGUAGCGGUGAAAUGCGUAGAGAUCUGGAGGAAUACCGAUGGCGAAGGCAGCUUCCUGGCAUAAUAUUGACACUGAGAUUCGAAAGCGUGGGUAGCAAACAGGAUUAGAUACCCUGGUAGUCCACGCCGUAAACGAUGUCUACUAGCCGUUGGGGUCCUUGAGACUUUAGUGGCGCAGUUAACGCGAUAAGUAGACCGCCUGGGGAGUACGGCCGCAAGGUUAAAACUCAAAUGAAUUGACGGGGGCCCGCACAAGCGGUGGAGCAUGUGGUUUAAUUCGAUGCAACGCGAAGAACCUUACCUGGUCUUGACAUAGUGAGAAUCCUGCAGAGAUGCGGGAGUGCCUUCGGGAACUCACAUACAGGUGCUGCAUGGCUGUCGUCAGCUCGUGUCGUGAGAUGUUGGGUUAAGUCCCGCAACGAGCGCAACCCUUUUCCUUAUUUGCCAGCGGGUUAAGCCGGGAACUUUAAGGAUACUGCCAGUGACAAACUGGAGGAAGGCGGGGACGACGUCAAGUCAUCAUGGCCCUUACGACCAGGGCUACACACGUGCUACAAUGGUAGGUACAGAGGGUUGCUACACAGCGAUGUGAUGCUAAUCUCAAAAAGCCUAUCGUAGUCCGGAUUGGAGUCUGCAACUCGACUCCAUGAAGUCGGAAUCGCUAGUAAUCGCAGAUCAGAAUGCUGCGGUGAAUACGUUCCCGGGCCU